rnacentral:rRNA from 1 species
UACGAAGGGGGCUAGCGUUGUUCGGAAUUACUGGGCGUAAAGCGCACUAGGCGGAUACUUAAGUCAGGGGUGAAAUCCCGGGGCUCAACCCCGGAACUGCCUUUGAUACUGGUAGUCUCGAGUCCGGAAGAGGUGAGUGGAAUUCCGAGUGUAGAGGUGAAAUUCGUAGAUAUUCGGAGGAACACCAGUGGCGAAGGCGGCUCACUGGUCCGGUACUGACGCUGAGGUGCGAAAGCGUGGGGAGCAAACAG